UACGUAGGGCGCAAGCGUUGUCCGGAAUUAUUGGGCGUAAAGAGCUCGUAGGCGGCUUGUUGCGUCUGCUGUGAAAUCCCGGGGCUUAACCCCGGGCGUGCAGUGGAUACGGGCAGGCUGGAGGCAGGCAGGGGAGACUGGAAUUCCUGGUGUAGCGGUGAAAUGCGCAGAUAUCAGGAGGAACACCGGUGGCGAAGGCGGGUCUCUGGGCCGAUACUGACGCUGAGGAGCGAAAGCGUGGGGAGCGAACAGG
rnacentral:rRNA from 1 species